GUUGAAGCGGAGGGUCAUUACCGAGUUUACAACUCCCAAACCCAAUGUGAACGUUACCAAACUGUUGCCUCGGCGGGAUCUUCUGCCCCGGGUGCGUCGCAGCCCCGGACCAAGGCGCCCGCCGGAGGAAUCAACCAAAACUCUUAUUGUAUACCCCCUCGCGGGUUUUUUUUAUAAUCUGAGCCUUCUCGGCGCCUCUCGUAGGCGUUUCGAAAAUGAAUCAAAACUUUCAACAACGGAUCUCUUGGUUCUGGCAUCGAUGAAGAACGCAGCGAAAUGCGAUAAGUAAUGUGAAUUGCAGAAUUCAGUGAAUCAUCGAAUCUUUGAACGCACAUUGCGCCCGCCAGUAUUCUGGCGGGCAUGCCUGUCCGAGCGUCAUUUCAACCCUCGAACCCCUCCGGGGGGUCGGCGUUGGGGAUCGGCCUCCUCUCACGGGGGCCGUCUCCGAAAUACAGUGGCGGUCUCGCCGCAGCCUCUCCUGCGCAGUAGUUUGCACACUCGCAUCGGGAGCGCGGCGCGUCCACAGCCGUUAAACACCCAACUUCUGAAAUGUUGACCUCGGAUCAGGUAGGAAUACCCGCUGAACUUAAGCAUAUCAAAAAGCCGGGAGGAAAU
rnacentral:rRNA from 1 species